GUUAGAGAUAGAAUCAUCAGCUAAGAGUGAGUAGAUGGAAGAGGAAUUGAAAGUUAAGGAAAAGGCAUGAAAUAGUCUGAGAGAAUGGGAAAAUGAAUUAACUAGGGAAAUAUGUAAUCAGAAUGCCCAGCUUGCUGAGGGUCCACUUGAUAUUUGUGGUUGUAUAUUUAUGUGAAGCCAUUCACUAUGACUUUAUGUUUGUAAUUUUUUUAAACAAAAUCCAUUUGUGUAAUGGAUUUAACCAGGUUUGGAGUUUUGCUAAGAGAGUACAAUAGAGAGAGGAGGAGCUUUGUAGCAAAGAAGUAAUUAUAAUGUACAAUUUGUAGGAUAGGACUAUGAGGAAUGGUGGCUGAGGUAGAGAGAAGAAAAGAUAAACAAGAUAAUUGCCUAAAGGACAGGAGGGCCAGGAUUUCAAAUGGACCAUCUAUAUGGAUGUUUAAAAUAACUAAGAUUGAUGCUAAGAGUAGAGGAAGACAGUGAGCCAGCUUCUAAUGCCAGUUCUAUCACUUAUGUCUAGCACAUCAGUAUAUUCCUCCUCUUUCAUCUACUCAAGGAUAUGGCUCUAGAAAGUUUCCCCUCCAUCUUCUGCCUCCCUUUUCUACAGAAAAAUUCUUACCGGGAUAUAAACAUGCUAUUAUUUUUCCCAUCAUGAAAAUCAAAAUAAAACAAUGUAACAACAAAGGAAAUCUCUUAACUUCUUAGCCCUUUCGAGGUACCUCCUCAUUUCUCUACUCUCUCUUUGAACAAAAUUCCUUAUAACAGUUGUUUAUAUCUACUGUUUUCAAUUAAUCUCUUCCAUUUUUCUCUCAAAUCUUUUCCAGUCACACUUUUAUAUAAAUGAAUCAAUGAAAUAGGAAGAAUAAACAGAACUUUGGUAGACAACUUCAAGAUGAUGUUACAUGUUUGAUGGCCUGAGCUGAAAAGAGUUGGGAGUUUUUGAGGGAAAGAGAGUGGAAAUUUUCUUGUAUGAGAAGUGGAAGCUCCAUGAGAACAAAGACAUCGCUGCUUUUGUUCAUUGCUGUGUCCCAAAAGUCUUGAACAGUGUCUGGCACAUAUAGGACAUUUCCUGAAUCUUCCCUGGCUUUGUGAAGUGAGUUAUGUGGCCUUGUCGAUUAUUGGUUUGCAUGCAGGUGGAAAAUGAGGAGUUCUGAAUCUUCAUUAUCGAAAGCAGUUGAAAUGUGUCUGGAUUUUGCUGGAAGAACUACAGGGAAAGCAGUCGGUGAGACCCAGGCACAGGAGGAGAGUUCGUUAGCUACCACAUGUAAAGCUGAGAGCAGAUGGCGCCGUUGAUACAGAACGCAGGAAUGUGCGUGUUUAUGCGGGGCUUCCCUGGUGGCGCAGUGGUUGAGAGUCCGCCUGCCGAUGCAGGGGACACGGGUUCGUGCCCCGGUCCGGGAAGAUCCCACAUGCCGCGGAGCAGCUGGGCCCCUGAGCUAUGGCCGCUGAGCCUGCGCGUCCGGAGCCUGUGCUCCGCAACGGGAGAGGCCACAACAGUGAGAGGCCCGCGUAACGAAAAAAAAAAAAAAAUUCCUCCACAAAGAAUAUACAGGCAAAUGAUGCAGAGAGAUGACCACAGUGCCAGAGUCUUCACAAUUCCUAGUUUCAGAGUGGCUGCAAGAAAACACCGAAUAAAGUUCUCUCUCCUUGAUGUGGCCUUCUGACAAGUAGUAAUCUCUCCAUACGUUUAUUAAGACCAGAGCCUAGAGAAUUUCAAAAUGCUCCACUCUCAUUCUUCUGCUUGCCUUAAAGAAGCAGUCACGUUGUGAACUACCUAUGGAGAGGCCCAGGUGGCACGAAGUACAGACAGCCUGUAGGACCUGCAGGCCUCAGUCAUACAGCCUCAAGGAAAUGAAUUCUGCCUAAACCUGAAUGAGUUUGGAAGUGGAUUCCUCCCCAGUCAACCUUCCAGAUUAGAACCCAGCCCUGCUGACGUCUUGAUAGAAGCCAUAUGAGACUCAGAGCAGAAGAGCAAGCUUAGGCGAGCCCAAACUCCUGUCCCACAGAAACUGUGAGAUGAUACAUAUGUGUUUAAGGUGCUAAGUUUGUGGUAGCUUGUUAUGCAUCAGUAGAAAACAAAUACAAUAUUGUG